rnacentral:rRNA from 1 species
UUAAGUUAUUAAGGGCGCACGGUGGAUGCCUUGGCACUAGAAGCCGAUGAAGGACGUUACUAACGACGAUAUGCUUUGGGGAGCUGUAAGUAAGCUUUGAUCCAGAGAUUUCCGAAUGGGGAAACCCAGCAUGAGUUAUGUCAUGUUAUCGAUAUGUGAAUACAUAGCAUAUCAGAAGGCACACCCGGAGAACUGAAACAUCUUAGUACCCGGAGGAAGAGAAAGAAAAUUCGAUUCCCCUAGUAGCGGCGAGCGAAACGGGAAGAGCCCAAACCAACAAGCUUGCUUGUUGGGGUUGUAGGACACUCUGUACGGAGUUACAAAGGACGACAUUAGACGAAUCAUCUGGAAAGAUGAAUCAAAGAAGGUAAUAAUCCUGUAGUCGAAAAUGUUGUCUCUCUUGAGUGGAUCCUGAGUACGACGGAGCACGUGAAAUUCCGUCGGAAUCUGGGAGGACCAUCUCCUAAGGCUAAAUACUCUCUAGUGACCGAUAGUGAACCAGUACCGUGAGGGAAAGGUGAAAAGCACCCCGGAAGGGGAGUGAAAUAGAACCUGAAACCGUGUGCUUACAAGUAGUCAGAGCCCGUUAAUGGGUGAUGGCGUGCCUUUUGUAGAAUGAACCGGCGAGUUACGAUUUGAUGCAAGGUUAAGCAGUAAAUGUGGAGCCGUAGCGAAAGCGAGUCUGAAUAGGGCGUUUAGUAUUUGGUCGUAGACCCGAAACCAGGUGAUCUACCCUUGGUCAGGUUGAAGUUCAGGUAACACUGAAUGGAGGACCGAACCGACUUACGUUGAAAAGUGAGCGGAUGAACUGAGGGUAGCGGAGAAAUUCCAAUCGAACCUGGAGAUAGCUGGUUCUCUCCGAAAUAGCUUUAGGGCUAGCCUCAAGUGAUGAUUAUUGGAGGUAGAGCACUGUUUGGACGAGGGGCCCCUCUCGGGUUACCGAAUUCAGACAAACUCCGAAUGCCAAUUAAUUUAACUUGGGAGUCAGAACAUGGGUGAUAAGGUCCGUGUUCGAAAGGGAAACAGCCCAGACCACCAGCUAAGGUCCCAAAAUAUAUGUUAAGUGGAAAAGGAUGUGGCGUUGCCCAGACAACUAGGAUGUUGGCUUAGAAGCAGCCAUCAUUUAAAGAGUGCGUAAUAGCUCACUAGUCGAGUGACACUGCGCCGAAAAUGUACCGGGGCUAAACAUAUUACCGAAGCUGUGGAUUGUCCUUUGGACAAUGGUAGGAGAGCGUUCUAAGGGCGUUGAAGCAUGAUCGUAAGGACAUGUGGAGCGCUUAGAAGUGAGAAUGCCGGUGUGAGUAGCGAAAGACGGGUGAGAAUCCCGUCCACCGAUUGACUAAGGUUUCCAGAGGAAGGCUCGUCCGCUCUGGGUUAGUCGGGUCCUAAGCUGAGGCCGACAGGCGUAGGCGAUGGAUAACAGGUUGAUAUUCCUGUACCACCUAUAAUCGUUUUAAUCGAUGGGGGGACGCAGUAGGAUAGGCGAAGCGUGCGAUUGGAUUGCACGUCUAAGCAGUAAGGCUGAGUAUUAGGCAAAUCCGGUACUCGUUAAGGCUGAGCUGUGAUGGGGAGAAGACAUUGNGUCUUCGAGUCGUUGAUUUCACACUGCCGAGAAAAGCCUCUAGAUAGAAAAUAGGUGCCCGUACCGCAAACCGACACAGGUAGUCAAGAUGAGAAUUCUAAGGUGAGCGAGCGAACUCUCGUUAAGGAACUCGGCAAAAUGACCCCGUAACUUCGGGAGAAGGGGUGCUCUUUAGGGUUAACGCCCAGAAGAGCCGCAGUGAAUAGGCCCAAGCGACUGUUUAUCAAAAACACAGGUCUCUGCUAAACCGUAAGGUGAUGUAUAGGGGCUGACGCCUGCCCGGUGCUGGAAGGUUAAGAGGAGUGGUUAGCUUCUGCGAAGCUACGAAUCGAAGCCCCAGUAAACGGCGGCCGUAACUAUAACGGUCCUAAGGUAGCGAAAUUCCUUGUCGGGUAAGUUCCGACCCGCACGAAAGGCGUAACGAUUUGGGCACUGUCUCAACGAGAGACUCGGUGAAAUCAUAGUACCUGUGAAGAUGCAGGUUACCCGCGACAGGACGGAAAGACCCCGUGGAGCUUUACUGUAGCCUGAUAUUGAAAUUCGGCACAGCUUGUACAGGAUAGGUAGGAGCCUUUGAAACGUGAGCGCUAGCUUACGUGGAGGCGCUGGUGGGAUACUACCCUAGCUGUGUUGGCUUUCUAACCCGCACCACUUAUCGUGGUGGGAGACAGUGUCAGGCGGGCAGUUUGACUGGGGCGGUCGCCUCCUAAAAGGUAACGGAGGCGCUCAAAGGUUCCCUCAGAAUGGUUGGAAAUCAUUCAUAGAGUGUAAAGGCAUAAGGGAGCUUGACUGCGAGACCUACAAGUCGAGCAGGGUCGAAAGACGGACUUAGUGAUCCGGUGGUUCCGCAUGGAAGGGCCAUCGCUCAACGGAUAAAAGCUACCCCGGGGAUAACAGGCUUAUCUCCCCCAAGAGUUCACAUCGACGGGGAGGUUUGGCACCUCGAUGUCGGCUCAUCGCAUCCUGGGGCUGUAGUCGGUCCCAAGGGUUGGGCUGUUCGCCCAUUAAAGCGGUACGCGAGCUGGGUUCAGAACGUCGUGAGACAGUUCGGUCCCUAUCCGUCGUGGGCGUAGGAAAUUUGAGAGGAGCUGUCCUUAGUACGAGAGGACCGGGAUGGACAUACCUCUGGUGUACCAGUUGUCGUGCCAACGGCAUAGCUGGGUAGCUAUGUGUGGACGGGAUAAGUGCUGAAAGCAUCUAAGCAUGAAGCCCCCCUCAAGAUGAGAUUUCCCAACUUCGGUUAUAAGAUCCCUCAAAGAUGAUGAGGUUAAUAGGUUCGAGGUGGAAGCAUGGUGACAUGUGGAGCUGACGAAUACUAAUCGAUCGAAGACUUAAUCAA